AUUACCGUCGUGUUCCAACCACUUGUGCUCGACGUCCCGCACAUCCUCGCUAAUUUCCUAUAGUCGUUAUCAGAGAAACGGAAUACCUCAGAAAGAGAUUACGGUGCUAUAAAUAACUCAGUCACUGAUCUGCACUCGCAUUUUGUGUGUACGUGAUAAAACGGACAUUUCGUUAAUUUAUGACGCGAAUACAUUUACCGGAGGUAAGUACGAAUAAAACAUCGCGCGAGGUCGAUUCAAUCCGUAGUAUAUCUGGAUCUGAAAUAAUUGACGAGCCACAGGCAACAAUGGAUUACGCUUGAUCCAGUUAUGGCCGGAAACUUGGUGACACGAUCUAUAGACGCGACAUUUAUCCGUCUGUUUGAUCAAUAACUUAUGUAACUGGGAACAAUGUCAAGGUCUGCUUCUCGAAUUUCUCCAAGUUCCCGCCAAGUGGAGUGUUUAGUAUCAUGCAUGCCGGAGGGCAUUGUAUUAGGGAAUGCUCAAGUGUGAAAUGUGCACCGACGUCAUUAUAUAGAGCAAGUUAUUCAAAUCAUCGGUAAGGUUUCGUUUUCCUCUACAAUGUAAAAGAAGCGUCAAGAAGCAGAAUGAUCACCCAUUAUCGAAGGUAAUCUCUACUAAAAGGGUAAUAAAUAUAUAUGUAUAUAUAUAUAAAGCGGCCGUACACACUUCGUAGCAUCACUUUUGCGCGCCUCGGAAUGUCUAAACAUCAAGAAGUAAAAUAACACGCUUCAACACGCUUCGUCUUUUUGCUACGUUUGCGCAGCAAAGACAAACAAGAUAAAAAAAAAAGAAGAAAAGGAUUUAAUCGACGUUCGAAAGCCAUUCAUAAGCGCGUUUAAUAAUUCUCUAGAGAAUAUUAAAGAUAAUUAGUCUCAUUAAAUAUGGUGAAUUUCUUGUCUACGGAAACGCUUGCGCUGCGAGCGUAAUAUCGUACCUUGAGC